rnacentral:rRNA from 1 species
UAUUUAUUGAGAGUUUGAUCCUGGCUCAGGACGAACGCUGGCGGUAUGCUUAACACAUGCAAGUCGAACGAGAAGGUUUUGAUGGAUCCUUCGGGUGACAUUAGAACUGGAAAGUGGCGAACGGGUGAGUAACGCGUGGGUAACCUGCCCUAUGGAAAGGAAUAGCCUCGGGAAACUGGGAGUAAAGCCUUAUA